rnacentral:rRNA from 1 species
UACAGAGGUCCCAAGCGUUGUUCGGAUUCACUGGGCGUAAAGGGUGCGUAGGCGGUCGGGUAAGUCUGAUGUGAAAUCCCACAGCUUAACUGUGAAACUGCAUUGGAUACUAUUCGGCUAGAGAGUUGGAGGGGGGACUGGAAUUCUUGGUGUAGCAGUGAAAUGCGUAGAUAUCAAGAGGAACACCAGUGGCGAAGGCGAGUCCCUGGACAACUUCUGACGCUGAGGCACGAAAGCUAGGGGAGCAAACAGG